UUAACAAGCUUUUAAAUUGUUUAUAUUAAAUUAUUUAAAUUAAUUAUUAUUUUAAUAGCAUUUAAAAAUAUUUUAGUCAUGAUACCUAUUCUAAAAUCUAAAGGUAUAUGUUAAAUAUUAUCAUCAUUAACAACAAUAAAACUAUACAUUUCGCUGCUUUAUCACACUGAAACAACUCCCAUUGGUAGUUUUAUUUUAUUACUUCUAUCAUGAUUGGUUAAUCUGGCUGUCAUUCAGGAAACUGGACAAUGAAUCGGUUCGCGCUUUUCUACAUUUAAAAAUAUGACCGUUAUUGUCGUCUUUCUGUGAGUGAGGCGGCUAACUGUGAGCUGCUGCUCGUUAUAAUUUACGGUCGGUCCCGAAUUAUUUCAUAUUUGCCUGUACAUUUUUUAUUUAUUUUGAGCGAAUUUGAGUUGUGACAUGUCAAUGGAGAACAAAAACUGUGAACACAAGAAGGGUCAGGUGUUCUGCGAGGUCCUGAAAACAUCCUGGCAAAAUGAGAUGAUCAAGUUAGAUGCUCACCCAAUGUGUUGCUGAGUCAUCGAGGAUCCAGCUUGUUCUUGAAACAUUGAAGUUUGCCCUCUGCAAGUGAACGACGCCUUGUGGUGCCAUCCCAAAGAGGUUCAUAAUCACUCUCAAGGACCUUUUCCUGGACUGUGCCCAGCUGGUGGAAUCACCUCCCAAUCUCAAUCCGAACUGCUGAGUCUUUACUCAUUUUCAAGAAACAUCUUAAGACUCAUCUUUUUCACCAGAACUUAACCAACUAAUGCUAGCACUUUUCCUUCUUUUCUUGUCUUUCAUA